rnacentral:lncRNA from 1 species
UGUGGUUUGUUAGGUGACUUAGCUGGUUGGAAAUGGUUGAGUCUAGGGACUUUGAAUGGGAUUUUUUUUGUUUUCAAGGUGGUUUGUUAGGUGACUUAGUUGGUUGGAAAUGGUUAAGUCUAGGGACUUUGAAGGGGAUUUUUUUAUUUUGAAUGUGGUUUAUUUGGUGACUUAGUCACUUGAAAAUGGUUAAGUCUAGGGUCUUU